UAAUUUUGUGUAGGUUCGAGAGCAGUGGUUGAUGUACGAAUUGGAUUUGAUUAACUAUCAGAACAAGUGGAAACUGAUAAAAGGAUGGGAUGACCUCUUUACUAAAGUGAAGGAGCACAUCAACUCAGUGACUACAAUGAAACUAUCACCAUUCUUUAAAUAUUUAAAGAUGAGGCUCCAGCUUGAGAUGAAAAACUGAACAAGAUCAACGCUAUCUUUGAUAUUUGGAUCGACAAGGUUUCUAUGAGGAAGGUUUUUGGUGAGGAAGGUUUCGAUGAGGUUUUCUAUGAGGAAGAGCUAGACGUUCCUCUUGUUCUCUUUAAUGAAGUCCUUGAUCAUGUCCUUUAUAUUGACAGGAUCUUCAAAUAGCAACAGAGUCAUUUGUUGCUUAUUGGUGUCAGUGGAGCUGGAAAGACUACACUGUCUAGGUUUGUGGCUUGGAUCAACGGACUAUCAGUGUUUGAAAUAAAAGUUCAUAAUAAAUAUACUGCUGAUGUACACUUCCAUUCAAUGGACAGCACCUACAUGUAGUGUGUACUAAUUACAUUCCUUACUGUAUAAAUUAACCUUCACAUACACAUGUAAAGGACACCUCUGUAUAACAUGAUAAACUCAUGAUAUUGCUCAAAAGAAGGACAUUGUACUCGACGAUUUGUCCAAAGUGGAUCCAGCAGUCAAAGAGGGUCAGCAAGACUGGUAGUCUACAAAUGAAGAUUGUUGCUGAAGAUAAACUUGUUGAAGAGAGGACGGCUGAGCUCUUUCAGGAAUAGGAGAGAAAGAAACCAAUACAUUUGAGUUAUGCUGAUAUGAUGAAGAGACUUGAUCCGUUACGUAAAGAAUUGAAGGAUUUGGAAACCAAAGCUGAGGACACUUGUCAAAAAGGAGAAGAAAUAAAAAAAAUAAUAGCAGAACUUGAAGCCUCUAUAGCAAAAUAUAAAGAAGAAUAUGCAAUAGUUAUAUCUGAUGCUAUUGUUAUUAAGAAUGAUUUAUCGACUGUUGAGAAAAAGGUGAGUUCCUCCUUCGUUUGUGUCACCUUGAGAAGAGUCUCCUCACUGCAUUGAACGAGGUCAAGGGUCGUAUCCUAGACAACAGCAGAAUCAUUACUGAGCUUGAGACUCUUAAGGAAGGGGCUGCAGAAGUUCAGAGGAAGAUGGAGGAGACUGAUACUGUAAUGGCUGAAGUUGACAGAGUCUCCCAGCAAUACCUGCCUCUCUCCACCUCCUGCUCUGCCAUGUACUUCACUCUGGAGUCACUCAAUCAGGUUCAUUUCUUGUACCAGUAUUCCUUCCAAUUCUUCCUGGACAUAUUU